rnacentral:lncRNA from 1 species
CAGCCACACGAUAGUAACAAGAACUUGGACGCAAUAGGUGAAAUACUGAAAGCCGGGCUUCUUAUUAAUUGAAGCACAGUGUUCUUGAAGAGUAGGAUAAGGUUUUCCCUAGCAGAGACCAUAGUCCUCAACCGGCCGUUAGGUGGUGCUGCUGUUCUGGAUGCAUUCCAGUGGACAAGGCUUGGCACAGUUUUUGUUGGGGAACGUGUGCAUGUGUGGAGGUCAGAUGACAGCUUGAAAGUUGGUUCCUUCCUUUUGCUCUGUGGGUUCUCGGAAUCAAACUCAGGAGUUCUAGGGUUCUCUUGCCCCCCCCCCCAGUUCCUGGUUGGUGCCCCUCCCACAGUGCCGUUAUUUAAAAUAGUGCUCACCCUUGGAGGUGAUGUUAACUGGAACAAGAUGCAGGACCGAGUGUUUCUCUAAAGAAAGAAGGAGGAAACAGCAGUGUUGACCUGCCUCGGAGUCCACCCUCCACCCUCACCUCAGCUCUGCUCCGCAUCCCUCGUGCUCCUGGGUCACCGCCAACAGCACCGAAACCCCAGGGCUCACUCACUCUUGUGCUUCUGGGCAUGUCCAACCUGC